AGGAAUUGGCGGGGGAGCACCACAAGGGGUGAAGCCUGCGGUUCAAUUGGAGUCAACGCCAGAAAUCUUACCCGAAGAGACAGCAGAAUGAAGGUCAAGCCGGAGACUUUACCAGACAAGCUGAGAAGUGGUGCAUGGCCGUCGCCAGCUCGUGCCGUGAGAUGUCCUGUUAAGUCAGGUAACGAGCGAGAUCCCUGCCUCUAGUUGCCACCAUUACUCUCAGGAGUAGCGGGGCGAACUAGCGGGACCGCCGCAGUUAAUGCGGAGGAAGGAGGGGGCCACGGCAGGUCAGUAUGCCCUGAAGCUUUGGGGCCACACGCGGGCUGCAAUGGUAGUAACAAUGGGUUCCGAACCCGAAAGGCGGAGGUAAUCCUCAAAUGCUACCACAGUUAUGAUUGAGGGCUGCAACUCGCCCUCAUGAAUAUGGAAUCCCUAGUAAUUGCGCGUCAUUAUCGCGCGGUGAAUACGUCCCUGCUCCUUGCACACACCGCCCGUC
rnacentral:rRNA from 1 species